GAUUAUGGCUCAGAACGAACGCUGGCAGCGUGGAUUAGGCAUGCAAGUCGUACGAGGGCUCCCCGGUUAGCAAUAAUUGGGAGUCCGAGUGGCGGAAGGGCGAGUAACGCCUGAGCAACCUGCCCCCUUGCUGGGGAUACCUCGGGGAAACCCGAGUUAAUACCGAAUGUUACCAGGGCCGGCAUCGGCCCGAAGUCAAAGGCGGGGACCGCAAGGCCUGCCGCAAGGGGAGGGGUUCAGGUACCAUCAGCUAGUCGGUGGGGUAACGGCCUACCGAGGCUACGACGGUUAGCUGGUCUGAGAGGACGACCAGCCGCACUGGGACUGAGAUACUGCCCAGACUCCUACGGGAGGCUGCAGUCGAGGAUCAUUCGCAAUGGGCGCAAGCCUGACGAUGCGACGCUGCGUGGAAGGAUGAAGGGCUUCGGCUCGUAAACUCCUGUCAUGAAGGGAAAAAGCCUCCCCGUUGUCAACAACGGCGGGGGUCGAUGGUACUUCAAGAGGAAGCCACGGCUAACUCUGUGCCAGCCGCCGC
rnacentral:rRNA from 1 species